GGCCAUAGCUCAGUGGUAGAACAUCUGUCUUGCAUGCAGAAGGUCCCAAAUUCAAUCCUCAGCAUCUCCA
rnacentral:tRNA from 1 species